rnacentral:rRNA from 1 species
UACGGGGGGGGCAAGCGUUGUUCGGAAUUACUGGGCGUAAAGGGCGCGUAGGCGGCCAUCUAAGUCAGACGUGAAAUCCCUCGGCUCAACCGAGGAACUGCGUCUGAUACUGGAAGGCUUGAAUCCGGGAGAGGGAUGUGGAAUUCCAGGUGUAGCGGUGAAAUGCGUAGAUAUCUGGAGGAACACCGGUGGCGAAGGCGGCAUUCUGGACCGAUAUUGACGCUGAGGAGCGAAAGCCAGGGGAGCAAACGGG